rnacentral:rRNA from 1 species
UACGAAGGGGGCUAGCGUUGCUCGGAAUCACUGGGCGUAAAGGGCGCGUAGGCGGCCAUUCAAGUCAGGGGUGAAAGCCUGUGGCUCAACCACAGAAUUGCCUUUGAUACUGUUUGGCUAGAGACCGGAAGAGGUAAGUGGAACUGCGAGUGUAGAGGUGAAAUUCGUAGAUAUUGGGAAGAACACCAGUGGCGAAGGCGGCUAACUGGUCCAGCACUGACGCUGAGGUGCGAAAGCAUGGGGAGCGAACAGG